rnacentral:rRNA from 1 species
GACGAACGCUGGCGGCGUGCCUAAUACAUGCAAGUAGAACGCUGAAGGAGGAGCUUGCUUCUCUGGAUGAGUUGCGAACGGGUGAGUAACGCGUAGGUAACCUGCCUGGUAGCGGGGGAUAACUAUUGGAAACGAUAGCUAAUACCGCAUAAUAGUAGAUGUUGCAUGACAUUUGCUUAAAAGGUGCAAUUGCAUCACUACCAGAUGGACCUGCGUUGUAUUAGCUAGUUGGUGGGGUAACGGCUCACCAAGGCGACGAUACAUAGCCGACCGGAGAGGGGGAUCGGCCACACUGGGACUGAGACACGGCCCAGACUCCUACGGGAGGCAGCAGUAGGGAAUCUUCGGCAAUGGACGGAAGUCUGACCGAGCAACGCCGCGUGAGUGAAGAAGGUUUUCGGAUCGUAAAGCUCUGUUGUAAGAGAAGAACGAGUGUGAGAGUGGAAAGUUCACACUGUGACGGUAUCUUACCAGAAAGGGACGGCUAACUACGUG